rnacentral:rRNA from 1 species
AUUGAACGCUGGCGGCAGGCCUAACACAUGCAAGUCGAACGUGUGGCGGACGGGUGAGUAAUGUCUGGGAAUCUGCCUGAUGGAGGGGGAUAACUACUGGAAACGGUAGCUAAUACCGCAUACCAUCAGAUGUGCCCAGAUGGGAUUAGCUUGUUGGUGGGGUAACGGCUCAACAAUGCGACGAUCCCUAGCUGGUCUGAGAGGUUGACCGGCCACACUGGAACUGGGAAACUGUCCAGACUCCUACGGGGGGCAGCAGUAGGGAAUAUUUGACAAUGGGCGAAAGCCUGAUGAAGCAAGGCCGAGUGGAUGAAGAAGGCCUUCGGGUUGUAAAGUACUGUUAGUAGGGAGGCGGUAUCUACAGAAGAAGAACCGGCUAACUCCGUGCCAGCAGCCGCGGUAAUUC